UUUUUUUUUUUUUUUUUUUUUUUUUUUUUUCGUGAAAGUGGAAAAAAUAAAGUUGGGAAGU
rnacentral:ribozyme from 15 species